rnacentral:misc_RNA from 1 species
GCGCGGACGCCGCCGUCGCCGUGGAGAGGAGCACGCCGAGCAACGCCUCCCUCCGCCCCAGCCCUUCCACCCGAGCAGCGGCGCCGCAUCUGAGCGUCGUCGCUCGCCGCGGCUUGGCGGCGGCGGCGGAGGAGGAGGAGAGGCCACGGCAGAGAUGGGUGGUUGUGGCGGUGGUGGUGGUGGUCACGGCGGCAGCCAUGGCCGGCGCGGCGCGGGCGC